rnacentral:rRNA from 1 species
UACGAAGGGGGCUAGCGUUGCUCGGAAUCACUGGGCGUAAAGCGCACGUAGGCGGCUUGUUAAGUCAGGGGUGAAAUCCUGGAGCUCAACUCCAGAACUGCCUUUGAUACUGGCGAGCUUGAGUUCGGGAGAGGUGAGUGGAACUGCGAGUGUAGAGGUGAAAUUCGUAGAUAUUCGCAAGAACACCAGUGGCGAAGGCGACUUACUGGACACAUAUUGACGCUGAGGUGCGAAAGCGUGGGGAGCAAACAGGG